GAAAACUAUGCUACUUAUCUCAGUCAUCGAUGAGUUGCAACCUCUAGUUUCCUUCACUUGAUGAGUUGCAAACUCAAUCACUUCCUCCUCAAUGUCACGACUCUUCAUCUCUAGCGAGCUAUUGUUGAAAACGGCCAAAAAAGAAGAAAGGUGAGAGUCGAGAGUGAAACAAGAAAAGAAAGGAUUGCAUUCCAGAUUCUCCGUGAAGAAACCUGUUGAGAUAGUGAAGAAAGAGUUUUUCAGCUUCAAGAGGAAGAUAUCUGUUGAGAAAGAAAAGUCAAAAGAAAAGACUCCAAAACGCAAAUCGUUUGUGACAAAGUGAGCUUUAAAUGUGUCCUGUUGCCGCCAACUCAGCUAGCUCGAAGAUGAAGAGUAUCUCUGUUGCAGUUGUUCAAGUGUGCAAGGUCAGCUCAGCAUUCAAGCAAGUGUGGAGUGGUUACAAAGUCAACAGGUCAACUAUGACCAAAACAUAUUUUUCGCCAAAAAUGUAGUUAGAAAAUCUGUUACAAUAGAUUUCGAACUAUGUGGAAUGUUUGCCUUGUAAUCAAUGCACAUGGCAGAGAAGCUUAUGAAAUGAAAUCAUCAUUCACUCAAUCAAAUACAUAGAAUAUUCGCCUUUUGAUUUUAAUUAAAUCCGAUAAAUCUCAUUUUUAUAGUCGAUUUUAAAUUGUAUAGAAAGUCUAAAAUGAAAUACAUUUUCAUGUUGGACAUCUUUCAAUAUUUUCUAUUAUUUUUAUAUUUUUUAUUUUUUCUAAAUCUUAAGAAAAUUUUUGAUUUAUUUUUCAUUUAUUGAAUUUUCUACUUUGACAAAUUUUUUUAGUAUUGUUCUAUUUAUU